UCGAGCGGAUGAGGGGGCUUGCUCCUGGAUUCAGCGGCGGACGGGUGAGUAUGCCUAGGAAUCUGCCUGGUAGUGGGGGAUAACGUCCGGAAACGGGCGCUAAUACCGCAUACGUCCUGAGGGAGAAAGUGGGGGAUCUUCGGACCUCACGCUAUCAGAUGAGCCUAGGUCGGAUUAGCUAGUUGGUGGGGUAAAGGCCUACCAAGGCGACGAUCCGUAACUGGUCUGAGAGGAUGAUCAGUCACACUGGAACUGAGACACGGUCCAGACUCCUACGGGAGGCAGCAGUGGGGAAUAUUGGACAAUGGGCGAAAGCCUGAUCCAGCCAUGCCGCGUGUGUGAAGAAGGUCUUCGGAUUGUAAAGCACUUUAAGUUGGGAGGAAGGGCAGUAAGUUAAUACCUUGCUGUUUUGACGUUACCAACAGAAUAAGCACCGGCUAACUUCGUGCCAGCAGCCGCGGUAAUACGAAGGGUGCAAGCGUUAAUCGGAAUUACUGGGCGUAAAGCGCGCGU
rnacentral:rRNA from 1 species